rnacentral:rRNA from 1 species
CACAUGCAGUCGAGGGGCAUCGGGAUUGAAGCUUGCUUCAAUUGCCGGCGACCGGCGCACGGGUGCGUAACGCGUAUGUAACCUACCUAUAACAGGGGCAUAACACUGAGAAAUUGGUACUAAUUCCCCAUAAUAUUCGGAGAGGCAUCUCUCCGGGUUGAAAACUCCGGUGGUUAUAGAUGGACAUGCGUUGUAUUAGCUAGUUGGUGAGGUAACGGCUCACCAAGGCAACGAUACAUAGGGGGACUGAGAGGUUAACCCCCCACACUGGUACUGAGACACGGACCAGACUCCUACGGGAGGCAGCAGUGAGGAAUAUUGGUCAAUGGACGCAAGUCUGAACCAGCCAUGCCGCGUGCAGGAAGACGGCUCUAUGAGUUGUAAACUGCUUUUGUACGAGGGUAAACUCACCUACGUGUAGGUGACUGAAAGUAUCGUACGAAUAAGGAUCGGCUAACUCCGUGCCAGCAGCCGCGGUAAUACGGAGGAUUCAAGCGUUAUCCGGAUUUAUUGGGUUUAAAGGGUGCGUAGGCGGUUUGAUAAGUUAGAGGUGAAAUCCCGGGGCUUAACUCCGGAACUGCCUCUAAUACUGUUAGACUAGAGAGUAGUUGCGGUAGGCGGAAUGUAUGGUGUAGCGGUGAAAUGCUUAGAGAUCAUACAGAACACCGAUUGCGAAGGCAGCUUACCAAACUAUAUCUGACGUUGAGGCACGAAAGCGUGGGGAGCAAACAGGAUUAGAUACCCUGGUAGUCCACGCAGUAAACGAUGAUAACUCGUUGUCGGCGAUACACAGUCGGUGACU